rnacentral:rRNA from 1 species
AUGGCUCUCCGCGCGGCGUCGCCGCCCUGCGCCGCGGGCCGCUGCCUCCCCUCCUCCCCGCCGCCUCGCGUCGGCGGCAGGCAAUUCUUCCGACCCCUCCCCCCCGCCGCGCCUGCGCCGCUCCGGAAGUCAGCAGUUUGUACCAAAGCAAUUUCAAACAGUGAUGGCACCCCUGGAACGAGCGAUUCUCCACAUGUGGUGUGUUUUGGGGAAUUGCUGAUCGACUUCGUCCCAACUGUUAGUGGGGUGUCACUGGCAGAUGCACCAGCCUUCAAGAAGGCUCCAGGGGGUGCACCUGCCAACGUUGCAGUUGGAAUAGCUCGUCUCGGUGGAUCAGCAGCUUUCAUUGGAAAGGUUGGUGAUGAUGAAUUUGGAUACAUGCUAUCUGACAUGCUGAAGGAGAAUAACGUGAACAAUCAAGGGUUGCUAUUUGAUACUCAUGCUAGAACAGCUUUGGCAUUUGUGACACUUCGAAGUGACGGUGAACGCGAAUUCAUGUUUUAUCGUAAUCCAAGUGCAGACAUGCUGCUUGAAGAAAAAGAGCUUGACCUUGACCUUAUCAGGAAGGCAAAAAUCUUCCAUCAUGGAUCAAUAAGUCUGAUAACCGAGCCAUGUAAAACUGCACAUAUUGCAGCUUCCAAAGCUGCUAAAGAUGCUGGGGUACUAAUUUCAUAUGAUCCGAAUUUGAGGCUCCCACUGUGGACAUCAGCUGAUGAUGCUAGAGAUGGUAUCCUGAGCAUAUGGGAUACUGCUGAUCUUAUCAAGGCAAGUGCAGAGGAGAUUUCCUUCUUGACAAAUGGGGAGGAUCCAUAUGAUGAUUCUGUUGUGAAGAAACUUAUCCAUCCGAACACGAAGUUGCUUCUUGUCACUGAAGGUCCAGAUGGCUGUAGAUAUUAUUCCAAGGAAUUUAGUGGGAAAGUUGGUGGAUUGAAGGUAACUGCUGUUGACACCACUGGUGCUGGGGAUGCCUUUGUUGCUGGAAUAUUAUCACAGCUAGCUGCGGAUUUUUCACUCCUUCAGGAUGAAGCUCGGUUGAGAGAAGCCCUGAAGUUCGCGAAUGUCUGCGGAGCUCUCACGGUGACAGAGAGAGGAGCUAUUCCUGCACUGCCCACCCGACAGCAAGUGGCUGAUGCCCUGACCAAUGUCGUUGCUUAA